UUUCCAAAUGAAAUAAAGUGAAAGUGAAUAAAUGUAAAAUUACUAUAAACUCAACUCUGAUUGGUUGGUGGUAACUUAGAUUUCUUUUAUCUUCAUUGCACAAAGAAACUUAAGUGAAAUUGGCCAUGAAAUGUCAUCGUAAUUAUAAUUCUUCAUGUUUUACGUAGCUUUUUUUCUUCUUUUUUUCCCCCCCAUGGCAACUAAAGGAAAUUAAUUGUACUAAUCAUUUCUAGCAUUUUAUUCCAAUUAAAUCAUUCAGUGCUUUAAUGCAGAGUUGAGAAUAAACCUUAGGGAAUCAGUGACAAAGUAGGAAGAGGACAAAUAGAAUGAGGAAGUCCACAGAGACUCGUACGUUCAUUGCUAGAAACAAUAAGAGCAGCAGCAUCAUCUCCGAAGUUGACGUUUUCGAUUUAAGCCAAAACGAAAAUGCACAUACGUCACACUAGAUUUUCUACUAACCUACAGUUGAAGUUUCUUAUAUGAAACCAAUGCAGCUUCGCCAGACUCCACACAAAAAGACCCCGGCUUAGAGAGAACCGCUGAUCUUUAUUUAUAUUAAAUAACUGCUGCUCCACGUUUCAGACGCCUUAUCUAACUGAAACCGACACAAACCUCCCAAUAAAACACAUAGUACACAUAACUUUAUAACUCAGAAGAAAAUCCCACUUGUUUGAAAUGGAAGAAUGCUUCCCUCAUGAAUAAAGAUUUUUAAUUUAACGAAGCCAUGUAUAAUUUACCAUUUCAAUUAAUGAUAAAAACUCAAAAAAAAGAGAAAAUGGUGGUUGGUUUUUGAUGUUAUUUACUUUAGAAUCAGACACAAGAAAGAAAGAAAAUCUUUCUUUCCAGACUUUCAGCCUUGAGCUCAGAUAAAAAAAAACCCAACCUUCUCAAACGUAGAAUUUAACUUCAAUUAUUAAUUGGUCAGGUUUAUGUGACGUGGACGUUCCUUUGUUUGUAUUGUUCACAUUAGCUUUUAAAGCAGCCGUGAUCCACUUCACUCCGUCAAUGCAUUAAUUAUCCAUCAGCAGUGGAAAGUUAUAUAUCGAUCAAAGCAGAAUCCUCUCUAGUCCAACAUUUCCACCUGCUGAUGCGAAUGGGAUAAUUCUGCGCGUGUCAAACAGCUGUUAUGUUGAACCGAGUUCCUACCUUGGAGAAUUUUUAUAUUUUUUUCAUCAAAACACCUGAUUUUGUGGAAAUAUCCCUGGAUAAUCUUCUCAGAAAUACUUUUGCAAUAAUUACACAAUUUUUUUUUUUAAUUUGCAAGUGACACAGAUGUCUUAUUCAACUCAUCGUGAGCAACAUCCUUGGCUAUUACCGGGUGAGUUUCUGGUUUUUCUAAAAGACAUUUAUUCAAUGAGGAAAAAUCAAACCGUUACCAUAAAAAUGGCUCAAGUUGAAACAGAAAUCCAAUUUACAACUUGUUCCGUAUUGUGAGGCAAACUAGGUAUCCUUCAUGUUGCUGCCUGACAUUAGUUGUCAUGGCGAUGAAGACAAACGGCUCAAUUCAGAGAUAAUUAAAACAGUAAAUAUUCAAUCAGGCAGAAUGGAAUAGUUGUCUUGUUUGAGGUGACCUUGCUGAAAUUCUCUGAUAAAAAAAA